AUUGAACGCUGGCGGCAUGCUUUACACAUGCAAGUCGAACGGUAACAGGCCGCAAGGUGCUGACGAGUGGCGAACGGGUGAGUAAUGCAUCGGAACGUGCCCAGUCGUGGGGGAUAACGCAGCGAAAGCUGCCCUAAUACCGCAUACGAUCUAUGGAUGAAAGCGGGGGACCGAACGGCCUCGCUCGAUUGGAGCGGCCGAUGUCAGAUUAGGUAGUUGGUGGGGUAAAGGCUCACCAAGCCAACGAUCUGUAGCUGGUCUGAGAGGACGACCAGCCACACUGGGACUGAGACACGGCCCAGACUCCUACGGGAGGCAGCAGUGGGGAAUUUUGGACAAUGGGCGCAAGCCUGAUCCAGCAAUGCCGCGUGCAGGAAGAAGGCCUUCGGGUUGUAAACUGCUUUUGUACGGAACGAAACGGUCCGGGUUAAUACCCUGGGCUAAUGACGGUACCGUAAGAAUAAGCACCGGCUAACUACGUGCCAGCCGCCGCGGUAAAAC
rnacentral:rRNA from 1 species